CUGGAAGGGCUGCUGGAAGCCAUCUUCGCACGGUUCUUCCCUUGGCUUUAGAGCCCCGAAGCGCUCUUUGACUUGAGCUGCUUUGCAUUCUCUCUGUCCUGCCAUCGAGAAAGUUCUGAGCGGCUCAGAAGUAAUACUGACACUAUCAACGGAGGGGGACUGCAGUUUCGCUGGUGGCCCCACAGCCCCCUGCCUCCAGCCAGGGGACAAAGAACAGGAGGGAUCCAGAGCUAUCCCUCCGAGGAAUUCUGCCCCAGACAGCAGAGAGAUGGGGGGCAGGGGACACAUGGCCAUGAGGACAGAGAGCCCUGAGAGGGACUGGGGAAUCGAGACAUCGUUUUCAAAUAAUUGCAGCAAUCAAGAGAGACUGUACAUCCCAUCCCAGACAAAGGGAGACCUGUGAGUCCUGAGUGAGGGCUGUUGAAAAAUGUGCUCUUUCCUCAUCAGAAAAUGAGAGAAUGGAGCUGGGCGCAGUGGUUCACGCCUGUAAUCCCUGCACUUUGGGAGGCCGAGGCAGGCAAAUCACCUGAGGUCAGGAGUUCCAGACCGGCUGGGCAACAUGGUGAAACCCUGUCUCUACUAAAAAUAUGAAAAAAAGUUAGCCAGGCGUCCGCGUGCCUGUAAUUCCAGCUACUCAGGAGACUGAGGCAGGAGAAUCGCUUGAACCUGGGAGGCAGAGGUUGCAGUGAGCCGAGAUCACGCCACUGCACUCCAGCCUGGGCGAUAAGAGUGAAACUCUGUCUCAAAAUAAAUAAAUAAAUAAAUAAAUAAAUAAUCUUAAAAAAAAUAAAAAGAAAACUAGAGAAUGAUGACUUCUGUUUACCAUGUGCCUGGUUUCCUGUCCUGUCUGUGAUCCUGUUGCUGUUUGCUGUCAACUGUUCCUGCUUCAGUGAUAUUAGAAGGGUUCAAGGAGAAUGUGGGUCCCCUCCUUGCCUGCUCUGGGCCUUCCCCUGUUUCUGGCCUGUUUCAUCUCCACCCCCGUUGGAUCUGAGCUCCUUGAGGGUGGCCCCUACACCCUGCAGUGCUGAGCAUUGGGAGGUGUGAGGGUUGCUGAAGGCUGGGGGUUGGUGCUUUUCUUCAUUCAGCAGUCAUCAUUUAUUGAGCACCCACUGUUUGCCAGCUCCUUGGCUAAGCAUUUCAAGCCCUGUUCCAUGGGCUCAGUCUUCCAGGGGCUGGCCGCUAACUACGCAUCGAUUGAUUUCCAGAAGGACAGAAGCACAUAGCAGGGCCUGGUCUCCACUGGGGGUGCCAGGAGCUG
rnacentral:lncRNA from 1 species